GAUGAAGAACGUAGCGAAAUGCGAUAUGUAAUGUGAAUUGCAGAAUUCAGUGAAUCAUCGAAUCUUUGAACGCAUAUUGCGCUCUCUGGUAUUCCGGAGAGCAUGCUUGUUUGAGUAUCAGUAAACACCUCAACUUCCAUAUCUUUUUUGAAAUGGGAGUUGGACUUGAGUGAUCCCAACGCUUUUCCUCACCGAAAAGUGGCGGGUUACUUGAAAUGCAGGUGCAGCUGGACUUUUCUCUGAGCUAUAAGCAUAUCUAUUUAGUCUGCCUAAAAAACAGAUUAUUACCUUUGCUGCAGCUAACAUAAAGGAGAUUAGUUCUUGUGCUGACUGAUGCAGGAUUCACAAAGACGGCUUCGGCCGACUUUGUAAACUCGAUCUCAAAUCAAGUAAGACUACCCGCUGAACUUAAGCAUAUCAAUAAGCGGAGGA
rnacentral:misc_RNA from 1 species